GCCGAGCUGGCGGAAUGGCAGACGCGCUCGUUUCAGGGGCGAGUGGACGAAAGUCCAUCGGGGUUCAACUCCCCGGCUCGGCA
rnacentral:tRNA from 1 species